UACGGAGGGUGCGAGCGUUGUCCGGAAUCACUGGGCGUAAAGGGCGCGUAGGCGGCUGGGGAAGUCGGCGGUGAAAGCCCGGAGCUCAACUCCGGGUCGGCCGUCGAGACUCCUCGGCUCGAGCUCACUAGAGGCAGAGUGGAAUUCCGGGUGUAGCGGUGGAAUGCGUAGAGAUCCGGAAGAACACCGGUGGCGAAGGCGGUCUGCUGGGGUGAGGCUGACGCUGAUGCGCGACAGCGUGGGGAGCAAACAGG
rnacentral:rRNA from 1 species